rnacentral:rRNA from 1 species
CAGUCGCCACGGUAAUACGAAGGGUGCAAGCGUUACUCGGAAUUACUGGGCGUAAAGCGUGCGCAGGCGGUUUGUUAAGACAGAUGUGAAAUCCCCGGGCUCAACCUGGGAACUGCAUUUGAAACUGGCAAGCUAGAGUCUUGUAGGGGGGGUAGAAUUCCAGGUGUAGCAGUGAAAUGCGUAGAGAUCGGAAGGAACAUCUGUGGCGAAGGCGACUAUCUGGGCCAACACUGACACUGAGGCACGAAAGCGUGGGGAGCAAACAGGAUUAGAUACCCCCGUAGUCCCUGUCUCUUAUACA